CGCGUUCAGCGGAGGCAGCACGGUCUGAACGGGCUCCGUCGGCAUUCGUAUCUGGGAUUUGUGUUGCAGCUUCGAUUGUACUGAAAAAAUAAUUAACAUACAAUAGGGUUGAUCGUGAAGUCGAGUCGCCCGCCACCUAGAGCAAUAAAUUAUUGUAAAGCCAUCGGUCCUAGAUACGUGUACAAAUUUUCAAGAUCAUCAGACGACUUGAACGUGCAGGCGAUGGCGGGUCGGUCCAGCCGCAGCACGUGGUGCGCGGUGACGUCAUCGGUGAGGACAGCCAGCGUGGCGCCCGCGCCCGCCGCGG